UACGUAGGGGGCUAGCGUUGUCCGGAAUCAUUGGGCGUAAAGAGCGUGUAGGCGGCCCGGUAAGUCCGCUGUAAAAGUCAAAGGCUCAACCUUUGAAUGUCAGUGGAUACUGCCGGGCUAGAGUCCGGAAGAGGCGAGUGGAACUCCUGGUGUAGCGGUGGAAUGCGCAGAUAUCAGGAGGAACACCAAUAGCGAAGGCAGCUCGCUGGGACGUUUACUGACACUGAGGCGCGAAAGCGUGGGGAGCGAACAGG
rnacentral:rRNA from 1 species